UACGUAGGGUGCGAGCGUUAAUCGGAAUUACUGGGCGUAAAGCGUGCGCAGGCGGUUUUGUAAGCCAGAUGUGAAAUCCCCGGGCUUAACCUGGGAAUGGCAUUUGGGACUGCAAGGCUCGAGUGCGGCAGAGGAGACUGGAAUUCCUGGUGUAGCAGUGAAAUGCGUAGAUAUCAGGAGGAAGACCAGUGGCGAAGGCGGGUCUCUGGACAGUUCCUGACACUGAGACACGAAGGCCAGGGGAGCAAACGGG
rnacentral:rRNA from 1 species